ensembl:lncRNA
AGCUGCUGUGUCCAUCAAGCACUGUGCCGACAGGGCAAUCUUGUGACUAUUGUAGGAGGGACAUUUCAAUCAUAUGUGAAACGUCCUGUAUGGGGGUAUAUGACCACUCUGUAUACCUCACUUCUUUGGUGCCCUUUCUUCCUUCGGGAAGAAAGGCCCCCGGCAUGGUCCUCAGAUUUCAGCUCAGAAUAAACUCACCCAAAUUUUCAUUUAUAGAUUGGUUAUGGAUUAUUUUCGUCGACAGUUCUUGGCGUAGUCGCAGCAGGGUUUCAGAGGAGCCCACCAGAGACCACCUGGAAUCUACACUGAGCCAGCAUUCGGUACCAAUAAGGGCCCAUUGAGCCCCCUGGAUCACUGCAUUCUUCAGGUGACCCUGACUCCAGAUGGCGUCAUGCUGUGAUUGCAAUUGCUUAACAAAGGGGGAUCCCAAGCCAGAUUGCUAAGGCUGAAAGAAAGAAAGAAAGAGGAAAAAGUUGGGAAAACAAGUUUUUUCACUGUGUUCUGCUAUGAGAACACCUAAGUAAGAUCUUUGUCUGUCUGUCUGUGUGUGUCUAUAUAUGUUACAAAAGUUUUUAUAUUUUACCUCCGGAUGGUACAAUUUCUAAAGAGCUCCAUUCCAUUCACUUAAAGUAAGCACUUACAAAAAGUUUUUCUAAAAGUUCUAACCCAAAUGUCUUUCAAGUUAACAUGGUAUAGGUUAAUCUUUGGUUAACGAAAGUUUAAGUCGUUGGUUUGAUUGAAAAGGCAUGUCCUCAAAAGUUGUUGGUAUUUGAAUAUGAUGCAGGCAUGCAGCCUGGGUUUACUAGUCAAAUAAGUUCAUGUUGUCUGUUAAAUUCGUCAACAAAAUAAUAGCUUUAAAUGAUGACCAGUUUUGUCUAAUGUCUCAUGAGGUUUUGUAGGUAAUCUGAACAUAAUUGUUGGAAACAAAUGGUUUAAAUAGAUAAAAGUGGGCAAAAUAACUGUUUUAUGGUCUGUAUACUUGGGGAAAAACAGCUUCCAAAUUCUUUUUGGUAACAAUCUUGAGUUUUGCUAAGUUAAAUUAUAAAAGUCUGAAUAUCUGGGUCAUUUUUGGAUUGGGUAGAACACUGAAACAUUAUUGCUAAACGAUCUAAGUUUAUCCACUUUUGGCUUCGUAUUGCAGAGAGGCUAAAAGUCUUUGGGUGUUUUAAAGGAAAGUAAAGUGUAAGUUUUCAGUAAAGAAGUUAUAAAGAAUGGAAAUAUUUUGUUUGAUUAGUUAAGAAAGAUAAAUUUGUCCUAAAGUACUAGGAGGAGAAAAAUAAAAGGAUAUGGGACAAAUUCUGAAUGCAAAAGAAAGUUAUAGAAGGUUUGUGUGAAAGAAAUUCAGAAAAGAGUUUUAUACCUGGUCAAGUUGGUUAAGAUUGAAAUGAAUCUAAUUAAGUAAAUGGGUUUUAAUAUGAAAAAGUAAACUGGUACAAAAAUUAGAAUUUGGCUUUCUCUCUUAAAAGGAUAAUUUUCUUAAACUCUUAGUCUGCUCUUGAUAAAGAGAUUACAAAAGGUUUUUCCUUCUGAGUAAGUUUACAGAAGAUCUAUGUUUUGUUAAGGUAAUUUCCUAGGUACAAAAAGACAGAGGUCUCUUUAUUAAGGGUUUUUUGCUGUUGUCACUUUGGUUAAACAUUAUGAAGCAUUGUUUCAUUGACCCUUGUUUUACAGUGACAAGAUCAGCAACCUCUUGAUCUUGUUUAAGUAACUGUUUAAAGAUCUUUUGAUAUUUUUGACAAGCUUCUCCCUCAAACAAAUAGUCAAGUCCUGAAUAAAGGCUUUCCUUUGAUCUGGAUGAAGGAGGAGAAUUUCUCUGAGGAUUUUCAGAGGGCCCCUGAAACUUCUCCAAGAAAUUUGUUCUCUCUUCCUCUGAAGGAGGCAUACAAAUUAGGCUUGUUUGGAAUGCUAAAUUGCAUGAGAAGCAUUGUCAAGUAAAUGAUAAUAAACCUCAGGUUAUGUUGUGUAGGUAAAUGCUAUUCACUAUUUUAACCUUGCUACUCAUGAGGAUUAUUUUUGGCUGGUUACUGUUAAAACUGCAGACGAGAAGGAGGUUCCGAGGUGUGGAAUUUGCUUGCCCUUUGAUAAGAGACAUUUGCAUUUGUGAAGGAAGUCUCCAUCUGUGGGUGUUUCCCUCUCUGCACCAGGAAGAAGGGAUGACGACCUUAUCUCUAGAAACUCUUAAUGGGGAUGGCAAGGACUUAAGUCUUGUUUAUUGUGCUUGUCUGGUAACCUCAUGUAGCUGACUCCCCCCACCACCAAUGCCCUCCUUUGUCUGUAGCUGCAGAUAGUAUUUAGGGUGGUAACUUCUGGUACUCACUUAAUCCGAUUUGAUUCUCAUCUAAAAGUUAUAGGACCACCCAGUAGCCAGACCCCACCUGCACUGAUACCAUUUUAACUUUUUUACAUAUUCUUUCCUUUGUCCUGUGAAGAGAUGACUCACAUGCCUCUGCCUUAGAUUUAGCUCUACUGUCAACCCAUGUUUGCAGCAGCAGCAGCUCCUGCCCGUGGGUCCUGUCCCCAUGCUGUUCUCUAGAUGGGAGAGCACUACUGCCAGACCUUGAGAGAAUCCAAAAAAUCUUUCUUUUGACUCCUCAGCUCACCGACCCUGCAUCAGCUACGUUGCUUCCAACAUCACAAGGGGAGAAGACCACGACUGCAUUCUAUUGUUUAAUUUGGUUUACAAGCUUAAGAAAUCACCACGGAAGAAGAAAAAUAUAUAUGUAUAUAGGUUACAGCAAGAGGGAAAAGUAAUACUUUUGGCAACUCUCUCCCAGUGGCUCAUAUAGCCUCUACUAUUUGUGCUAUAUGCCCAAAGUAUAAUCCGGAGAAGCCACUUCAUGAGUCACAAAGCCACUUUCCCUUCCUAAGGGACCCUUUGAGGUAUGACCAUUGGACUUUGUCCAAAUGCCACCAUCUCAAGGAUAAAUACAUCUUGUAAUGAUCUGUAUAUUCUCACAUUGUUUUGAGGCUUUUCCUUGCAGAAGAGUGAUGGCUUUAGAUAAAUUAUUAUUGAAAAGAAUAAAUUCCUGUUUGAGGAAUUCCUACCGAGUUACGUUGUGACUGGGAAACUCAUUUCACCGGAUAAAUAAUUGAAUCUAUUUGUAAUGUUUGGCAAAUAUUGCUGCAUUUCCACUGCACUUACCAUCCUCAAUCCUCAGGAUUCGUAGAAAGAACUAAUGGCACAACCAAAACUUAAUUGGCAAAGAUUUCAGAAGCAUUUACUCUCUCAUGGCCCAAAGCUCUUGUGCUAGCGCUCCUUAAUGUUAGAUCUACACAUUUUGUAAACAUCAGCUGUCUCCUUUUGAAAUAAUAAUAAAACAGCCUAUGCAAUUAGAUGAAGAAAUAUAUGAACCAAGCUUUGCUUAAGGGGUAUAUUAAAUUGUUGUCAUGGUCUUAUUGAGGUGCUUAAAGAAAUGAAAGAUUGGUAGCUGAUUCUUUCUCAGAGAGCUCCCAGAACUUAAGGAUCUUGGACUAUAACCUGGAGAGUUUAUUUAUUGAAAGAGACAUCAAAUAAGACUGUUUGCAGCCCUGUUGGAAGGGACCAUACCAGGAGGAGAAGAAGACGGCAUCUGUUGUAGACAGCUGUCCCAAGACUCCGGACCAGGCCUGUAUUCCUGACCUUAUAUCUCCUCAUUUAAACUUUUGUUAUGCUUAAACUGUAUACCUAUUUUAUAAUUUGUUUGGAAUACUAUCAUACUUAAAGAAAGGGAUUCAUUUGGAACAGACUGAUCUUGAAGGCCAGGAAUUUAUUGAGUGACUCCUAAUGGAACUCAAUGGUUAUGUGGAACAAAUCUUUGGCCUUGGCUACUGCCUGGAUGGCUAAAACACUACACCCUGAGUUUCCUUUAAAAGCAGAGAGGGAGUCAGGCUGAGUUAAAACCUGUUGCCAAUCUCCCUCUCUUUAAGGCCAGAUGGGCUCGUUCAGUGCUCCACUGGUAAGGCUAUAUUAGCAACUAUAUGUGCUUCUUCUUUGGGGCUAAAAGAUGUCGUUAUUACAUAUGGAAUCUCUGACUACAUUUACUCAAGAAGCCCUUAAUGAUAGUCAAGCAGGAAUACCCUUAUUUAAAUAGUGAAAUGUCUUUAAUGAGAAGGGCUGUCCUUCAAAACAGCAUGGCUUUAGAUAUUCUUACUGCAUCCCAAGGUGGUACAUAUACAAUCAUUCAGACUGAAUGCUGUGUUUUUAUAUGUGAUGAAUCUUCCAAUGUGUCAUCUCUGCUAAAGCACAUGAAGAAGCAAGUGGCUGCCUUAUGUGAAUCCUGCACCCCCUUUGAUUUGUUUGCUUGGCUCCCUUUUCAGUAUCAGUUCCCUUUUUCGAUCCGGAUUGCAAUUCCUAUUUCUAUUACUUAUUGGAAUCCUUGUACUGGUCAUAAUAUUCAAACUAAUUAUUGUUUUCUUUACUCGGUAUUGUAAGAGUAGCAUACAAACUAAAGUAAUGAUUGCUUGAUGGCUUAAAAUGGUCGAUCUAUCUUAUAAUCCUGGACAAAUUUCCUUUUCUGAUAAAGACUUUACCUAAGAACUCAUUUUAAACUAAUAUCUUCAAAAAUAUUGAAUUAUUAUUACUGUACUUGUUCUAUAAUCAUAUACAAUGUAAAUGCAAAAUGUCAUAGAGAAGCACAUAUACGUUUGUGAAACAAUCUAAAAUUAAUUAUAAAUUACAUGACAUAUGAAAUGCUUCCUCUGUUAAUACAUAUAUAUCCAUGCUUGUCCACUAUUUCCCACCAACGUGGAUGACUAAGCAAAUAAUGAGAUAAAAGCCUAGCACCGAGGGACAUGGUGGACCCAGGGCAGGCAGCAACCACCCUGGCACCGAGGGACAAUAUUUUGAUCAUCAAUGCUUUCUAUCGAAAGAUUAGAGAUCAAAAGGGGAAAAUGACAAAUAAAAAUGGCAAGCAAUAGUAUAUAUUGGAGAAUAUGAGGAAGCCAUUUGGUGUAAACCUAAUUCGGCCUGACCUUGUCUUUCCAAAAGUGGCUGACCGUGACUGUUGAGCAUGCAUUGUAUGUCUGCUUUAGAGAUUCCCUAUGGCAAGAACAAAGGCCCUUGAGAUAAAGGUGCAACUUCCCUCCCCCUCCCAACGUUGGCAUUCCCUUAAGGAUUAAGCAUCUUUCCUCAGGCUAGGAACUGAUUGCUGUGCUCACCUAUGACCACCCAGCUCGAGACAAUAGGCUUGCCUCCUGCUACGCCCUCUGAGAGAGCAGACCCACUGCCUGCUGUGUCCAUCAAGCGCUGUGCCAAUAGGGCAAUCUUGUGACUAUUGUAGGAGGGACAUUUCAAUCAUAUGUGAAACAUCCUGUAUGGGGGUGUAUGACCACUCUGUAUACCUCACUUCUUUGGUGACCUUUCUCCCUUUAGGAAGCAAGGCCCUUGGCCAUGGUCCUCAGAUUUCAGCUCAGAAUAAACUCACCCAAAUUUUCAUUUAUAGAUUGGUUAUGGAUUAUUUUCGUGGACAGGGAGAAAAACAAUUCCCUUGAAACUCACACCCAUUCAGGCAGAGAGUUAAUCAUCGUUGAUCAUUUAGUGCAGACCUCAUCAAUCUUAAAUAGCUUUGACAGCUGGAAAAAUUAAGAUUGUGUCAGGACUCCUGUUGGUUUUGAAAAGAUUAUAAAUUCUCUUAUUUCAAAAGGGCCAGGUGAAAGCUUUUUAAAUCCUGUCAAGAAUUUUAGCCUGUAUCCUGAGAGCAAUGGGUAGCCAUUGACUGGUUUUAAAAAAGGAGUGAUGACCUGAUCUGAUCUUUUGAUCUAGAAACAACCCCCUGGUUGGAAGGGCAGCUGUAGGGUUAGUGGUUAAUGAGACGG